rnacentral:rRNA from 1 species
AUUGAACGCUGGCGGCAUGCUUUACACAUGCAAGUCGAACGGUAACAGGGUGCUUGCACCGCUGACGAGUGGCGAACAGGUGAGUAAUGCGUCGGAACGUGCCGAGUAGUGGGGGAUAACGCAGCGAAAGUUGUGCUAAUACCGCAUACGUACUGAGGUAGAAAGUGGGGGACGUUCGGGCCUCAAGCUAUUCGACGGGCCGACGUCGGAUUAGCUAGUAGGUGAGGUAAAGGCGCACCUAGGCGACGAUCAGUAGCGGGUCUGAGAGGAUGAUCCGCCAAACUGGGACUGAGACACGGCCCAGACUCCUACGGGAGGCAGCAGUGGGGAAUUUUGGACAAUGGGCGAAAGCCUGAUCCAGCCAUGCCGCGUGUCUGAAGAAGGCCUUCGGGUUGUAAAGGACUUUUGUCGGGGAGGAAAUCCCCAGCGUUAAUACCGCUGGGGGAUGACAGUACCUGAAGAAUAAGCACCGGCUAACUACGUGCCAGCCGCCGCCGUAAUAC